AUUGAACGCUGGCGGCAGGCCUAACACAUGCUAGUCGAGCGGAGUGGCUGACGGGUGAGUAAUGCCUAGGCAUCUGCCUGGCAGUGUGGGAUAACGUUUUGAAACUGGUGCUCACAUCGCAUACUAUCAGAUCAGUCUCGGUCGGAUUAGCUAGCUGGUGGGGUAAAGGCCUACCAAGGCGACGAUCCGUAACUGGUCUGAGAGGAUGAUCAGUCACACUGAAACUGAGACACGGUCCAGACUCCUACGGGAGGCAGCAGUGGGGAAUAUUGGACAAUGGGCGAAAGCCUGAUCCAGCCAUGCCGCGUGUGUGAAGAAGGUCUUCGGAUUGUAAAGCACUUUAAGUUGGGAGGCGUUACCAACAGAAUAAGCACCGGCUAACUUCGUGCCAGCAGCCGCGGUAAUUC
rnacentral:rRNA from 1 species